rnacentral:rRNA from 1 species
UUAAAACGUAAAUAUAAUCAUAGUUUAAUUAGUAAUAGUUAUGUUCUUGAAAAUUAAUAAAUUUGGCGGUAUUUUAUUCUGUUCAGAGGAAUUUGUUUUAUAAUUGAUGGCACCCAUUAAAUCUUACUUGAUUUAUUAAAACUUGUAUAUCGUCGUCAUAAGAAUAUCUUAAAAGGGUUAAAAUGUUCUAAAAUUUAAAAUAUAAAUUAUGUCAGAUCAAGGUGCAGUUUAUAGUUAAGCAAAAAUGAAUUACAAUAAAUUUAUUUAUAUGAAUAUUAUAUUUAAAUAUAUAAUUGAAAGUGGAUUUGGAAGUAAAUUAAAAAAUAUAGAUUAAUUGAAUAUAGUUUUAAAAUAUGC